rnacentral:rRNA from 1 species
AUUGAACGCUGGCGGCAGGCCUAACACAUGCAAGUCGAGCGGAUGACGGGAGCUUGCUCCUUGAUUCAGCGGCAGACGGGUGAGUAAUGCCUAGGAAUCUGCCUGGUAGUGGGGGACAACGUUUCGAAAGGAACGCUAAUACCGCAUACGUCCUACGGGAGAAAGCAGGGGACCUUCGGGCCUUGCGCUAUCAGAUGAGCCUAGGUCGGAUUAGCUAGUUGGUGGGGUAAUGGCUCACCAAGGCGACGAUCCGUAACUGGUCUGAGAGGAUGAUCAGUCACACUGGAAGUGAGACACGGUCCAGACUCCUACGGGAGGCAGCAGUGGGGAAUAUUGGACAAUGGGCGAAAGCCUGAUCCAGCCAUGCCGCGUGUGUGAAGAAGGUCUUCGGAUUGUAAAGCACUUUAAGUUGGGAGGAAGGGCAGUAAGCUAAUAUCUUGCUGUUUUGACGUUACCGACAGAAUAAGCACCGGCUAACUCUGUGCCAGCCGCCGCGGUAA